rnacentral:rRNA from 1 species
CGCAAGACCUCGCGCGAUUGGAGCGGCCGAUAUCAGAUUAGGUAGUUGGUGAGGUAAAGGCUCACCAAGCCGACGAUCUGUAGCUGGUCUGAGAGGACGACCAGCCACACUGGGACUGAGACACGGCCCAGACUCCUACGGGAGGCAGCAGUGGGGAAUUUUGGACAAUGGGCGCAAGCCUGAUCCAGCCAUGCCGCGUGCGGGAAGAAGGCCUUCGGGUUGUGAACCGCUUUUGUCAGGGAAGAAAAGGUUCUGGCUAAUACCUGGGACUCAUGACGGUACCUGAAGAAUAAGCACCGGCUAACUACGUGCCAGCAGCCGCGGUAAUACGUAGGGUGCAAGCGUUAAUCGGAAUUACUGGGCGUAAAGCGUGCGCAGGCGGUUAUGCAAGACAGAGGUGAAAUCCCCGGGCUCAACCUGGGAACUGCCUUUGUGACUGCAUGGCUAGAGUACGGUAGAGGGGGAUGGAAUUCCGCGUGUAGCAGUGAAAUGCGUAGAUAUGCGGAGGAACACCGAUGGCGAAGGCAAUCCCCUGGACCUGUACUGACGCUCAUGCACGA